rnacentral:rRNA from 1 species
AGGCUGAACUGGCACUUGGAGAAGUGGCAAGUCUUCCAGUAUGGGGAGCAAAACAGCUAUGGGUCAAGUCCGAUAUCUUUAGGAGAAGUCUUAUUGUGAGGGCGAGUUAUAUAACACCAUAGGACUGGCCGUCCCAUAUGAAAAGAUUAUAUUAGAAUUGAAUGAAGCUUUGUUUAUAUAUUGAUAAUGACAGUAUAUAUAUCGUGUCUUGACUAAUUGCGUGCCAGCAGUCGCGGUAAUACGUAAGAGACUAGUGUUAUUCAUCUUAAUUAGGUUUAAAGGGUACCCAGACGGUCAAUAUAGCUUAUAAAAUGUUAGUACUUGACUAGAGUUUUAUGUAAGAGGGCAGUACUUGAGGAGGAGAGAUGAAAUUUCGUGAUACCAAAGGGACUCUGUAAAGGCGAAGGCAGCCCUCUAUGUAAAAACUGACGUUGAAGGACGAAGGCACAGAGAACAAACAGGAUUAGAUACCCAAGUAGUCUUUGCAGUAAAUGAUGAAUGCCAUAGGUUAGAUUGAUCAAUUAUAGUCUAGGGUUAGUCUAGCAAACUAAUGCCCUAUGAUAUAAUUCAAAAUAUCUGGUCUAUAAAUGAAAGUGUAAGCAUUUCACCUCAAGAGUAAUGUGGCAACGCAGGAACUGAAAUCACUAGACCGUUUCUGACACCAGUAGUGAAGUAUGUUAUUUACGAAAAAACCCCAAAAAA